rnacentral:rRNA from 1 species
ACUCAAAGGAAUAGACGGGGGCCCGCACAAGCGGUGGAGCAUGUGGCUUAAUUCGAUGCAACGCGAAGAACCUUACCUGGCCUUGACAUGCUGGUAGUAGAAUCCAGAAACGGAAACGAUCCCGAGCAAUCGGGAAGCCAGCACAGGUGCUGCAUGGUUGUCGUCAGCUCGUGUCGUGAGAUGUUGGCUUAAGUGCCGCAACGAGCGCAACCCUUGUGUUUAGUUGCCUGCGCAAGCGGGAUCUCUAAACAGACUGCCUGGCUUUAAACCAGGAGGAAGGUGGGGAUGACGUCAAAUCAGUAUGGCCCUUACGGCCAGGGCUGCACACGUGCUACAAUGCGCAGUACAGAGGGAUGCAAGACCGCGAGGUGGAGCAAAUCCCAUAAAACUGCGCCCAGUUCAGAUUGAAGGCUGCAACUCGCCUUCAUGAAGCCGGAAUCGCUAGUAAUGGCGCAUCAGCUACGGCGCCGUGAAUACGUUCCCGGGCCUUGUACACACCGCCCGU